CAGAGCAGUAAGGCGAAGAAAGAGAAGAGAAGGAGCGUCUGAACGUCAAGAGGAGUUCAGCUGGGGAUGGCCAAACUCCAGGGGAAGAUCAUCUUCUCACUACAUCCCCUUUCCAGCUCCCCAUCCAUCCCACUGAGAGCCACCUCCAUCAGUCAAUAAAAUCCCUGCAUUCACCAUCCUUCAAGUUCACAUGACCCGAUUCUUCCUGGAUGCCAGACAAGGACCCGGGUACUAAGAGGACAGGGUGUAAAAAGCUGUCUGACUCUCCACUAAACUGGUUAACGCUUAGCUGUCUGGGGAUGGCAACUGCUAAAAGGGUAUUCAUUCUAACACUUCCCUAGAGGCUACUGAUACUGAAGUGCUGGGAAGGAAAGAGCAUGGUCCUUUUAAAUGAUAUGGAAGUGGGGAAUGGAAGGGCUGGGUAGAGGAGGGCAUGGUGCCUGGCUAGGACUCUACCCCCACAGACCUAGGUGAGGACAGGCACAUCUGUCUUUGUGCCCAAAUGUUGCAUUUUCCAAGACCACUCUGGCCUGCCACACCCCCAUCCUGUGCCUAUAAAAACCCCUGAAACCCUAGCAGUCAGAUACACAAGUGGCUGGACAUUGUGAGGAACACAUUGGUGGAAAAAGACACAGGUGGCUGGACGUUGAGAGGACAUCGAGGGGAGCACUCUGGCGGAAGAGCACACCAACAGAUGCCAGCAUGCCGCAGGCCAUUGACCAGCAGAAUGACACAGAGUUUGGCUGGGGCAGUCAGAGGAGAGCCCAGGUCCCUGAGCUGCCUGACUCCAGGAAAAAGCCAUCUCCCUUCUGGCUCCCCCAUCUGCUGAGAGCUACUUGUACUCAAUAAAACCUUGAACUCAUUCUCCAAGCCCACAUGCGAUCCAGUUCUUCCAGUACACCAAGGUAAGAAACUCCGGGAUACAGAAAUCCCUCUGUCCUUGUGAUAAGGAAGAGAGUCUAAUUGAGCUAACACAAGCCACCUGCAGAUGGCUAAAUUAAAAAAGCGCCCUGUAACACAUGCCCACUGGGGCUUUAGGAGCUAUAAACACUCACCCCUACACACUGCCAUGAGGUUGCAGCCCCACAACCUGCCCGUCUGUAUGCUCCCCUAGAGGUUUGAGCAGUGGGGCACUGAAGAAGCAAGCCACUCCCCUGUCACACGCCCUGUGAGGGGGACAAGGGAACUUUUCCUGUUUCACUACUAUGCGGCUGGAGCCCAAAAGCACUCAUCCCAGCUCCUGCACCUGUCUGUCUGCAUGUUUCCCCCUCUUGUAAGGGGUUUGAGUACAUGGUGGCCAAGCAAACAGGCCACACCCUUGUUGCAAGUCCCGCGAGAGGUUCAGAGAACUCUCCCGUUUCACUCCUGCCUCAGGCCUCAGCCACCACAGUUGACAGGGUCCAGAGCAAAACCUACGGAAGAAGCUGCAGAGGCCAGGUGGAGGGAAGGAUGCUGAACUGGAGGAGGCCAGGAAAUUAUGAGGUGAUUCUAAGCACAUUAAAAUCUGGAUGACACUUAUCUGAAUCAUUUCGCAACUUGGAGAGAGAUGGAGAAGACACGCAUGGUGUAACUGGGCAUCACCAGAAUGUGCACUGCCAUCUGUGGCUGUCUUCCUGCUGGCAAAUCCUUUUCAUUCCAAGCAAAUAAGAUUCCCUAAAUUAGACAAAAAGGAAGAAACACAACAGAGUCCAUAAUUCUGAGAGGAAGAGAAGAGUGAUCAUCAGCAGCAAAAGGCAAUUGCAGAGAAGCACCACCAAGAGCCAGCUUCAUGCUCAGGAGUGAAUGCUGAGCCGCCUCCUCGUGGUUUCCGGUGCUCCACAUGUUCAGAGAAACUUCUCUGCUCAAAUGUUGCCUUUUCCAAAACCACCCAUGGGCCUGCCCCCUGACAUCCUGUGCCUAUAAAAACCCCAUACUCAGCUGGCAGAGAGAAGAGAAGCAGCUGGACGUUGGUGACUAUGGUUAGACAUUGGAGAGAAGCAGCUUCACUUCAGAGGGACAGCUUGACACGUAACAUCAGAGAAGAAUCUGGCCAGAGAUGGCUGGACUUCAGGAGAAGAUUACCUUCCCUCUCCAUCCCCUUUUCAACUUCCCUUCCUGCUGAGAGCCACUUUCAUCGGCAAUAAAAAUCCCCUACAUUUGUCAUCCUUCAAUUUGUGUGAUGUCAUUUCUCCUGGAUGUGGGACAAGAGCUCGGAUGCUGCUAGUGUGGCUACAAAAGGCUGUCACACUUGCCCUUUGUACUCACUGGCAGAAGGCAGCCAGCUUACGUGAAAAGCCAC
rnacentral:lncRNA from 10 species